rnacentral:lncRNA from 1 species
UCAGUAGUAGUUUGUUUUGGCUUCUCAGGGCAUAUGAGGGGGAAACAAAUGUGUCUACAGGGUAUCACAGUUGCAGAGGUAAUGAUUUGUUUGAGCAGAAGUUGAGCAGAGAUUCUUUGCGUCGAAAGUCUUCUUAGCAAAUUGUGUCAAGUGGCGGGAUCUGUUGGCAACAACAGCGGUUCAGGGUGAAGUUCAAGUCAAGGUGUUCAU